rnacentral:rRNA from 1 species
UGGGGAAUAUUGGACAAUGGGGGCAACCCUGAUCCAGCAAUGCCGCGUGAGUGAAGAAGGCCUUCGGGUUGUAAAGCUCUUUUACCUACGACGAUAAUGACGGUAGUAGGGGAAUAAGCCCCGGCUAACUUCGUGCCAGCAGCCGCGGUAAUACGAAGGGGGCUAGCGUUGUUCGGAAUUACUGGGCGUAAAGGGCGCGUAGGCGGCCCUAUAAGUCUGAUGUGAAAGACCUGGGCUCAACCUGGGAACUGCAUUGGAAACUAUAGGGCUAGAGGGUGUGAGAGGAAAGUGGAAUGACGAGUGUAGAGGUGAAAUUCGUAGAUAUUCGUUAGAACACCAGAGGCGAAGGCGGCUUUCUGGCACACUACUGACGCUAAGGCGCGAAAGCGUGGGGAGCAAA